CUGGGGUGCCAUCCCGGGAGGCGGCAGGCCUCAGGUUGACAUGGCAGCGGUGGUGAGAGAUCUCCAGGAAGUUCUCCUGCAUAUCUAUCUUUAGUCCAUCUUGCUGCAAUGAAAACAACAGCAUUUUCUUGGCAUUUCAAAGAAGAACAGAAAGGAAGAGAAUGGGCAGGACAAAGAAGUCUUUGGGAGGUCCAGGGAGCCAGUUUAUCCUGCAGUCUUCAUGGCAGCUCCACAGCCAUAUGCAGAGAAAGGACAGCAGCACAGUUUUCAAAACAGAGCCACAGACGAUCAGUCCAUGGGUCCCAUACAAAAUGAAGACAGAAGUUCCAGGCUCUGGUCUGAGGUCCUCAAAAGAGAGGACCAGGGCUCCCGUGGUGGCAGAGUGGUUGAGAGUCCGCCUGCCAAUGCAGGGGACACGGGUUCCAGCCCUGGUCCGGGAGGAUCCCACAUGCCGCGGAGCAACUAAGCCCGUGUGCCACGACUACUGAGCCUGCAUGCCACAACUGCUGAAGCCCACGUGCCUACAGCCUGUGCUCUGCAACAAGAGA